GAUAUCCAUUUUGAAUGACAUCUUAAAAACUCAACAAGUUCCCCUUAAACUUGGAGGAGAACAUUGCAUUCUCUAUGAUAAAUAUUGUUCCUUUAGGCAGAGUUAUAGUUGCUCUUCCGGAGCCUUCAAUCAAUUAAAUUCCCACGGUUGACAACAAAAGAAAAUAUACGAACAUGAGAAUAAACAAAUUCAAUCCGUUUGUUUCAUA
rnacentral:lncRNA from 1 species